rnacentral:lncRNA from 1 species
AACAAUAAUAGCUGUAAUUUUCUCUCCCUCUAUUUACAGGAAACAAACUCUUCCUUCCUGUCCUCUGCCUGUAGCAGAAAAUAGACAAGCCAAGCAGAUGUCCAGAGAUGGCGGAGGAGUACCUCGGCUGCAGCUUCCUUGAGAGAAAACAAACUCAAGGGAGCCUUGGGGGCUGGGGGUGAGAGUGCCGGGGCGGAGCUGGGGGGAGAAGGAAGGUGGCACAGUAUUGUAAUCAGGUUCCCUACUCACUCAAGCUGAGUGCCCGUUGCCUUCUUUCUUUCCCUCCCUCUCCCUUUGUCUCUUUUGAACUUACUGUGAAACAAGUGAACUAUAUAUGGCCAGGGAAAUCUCCAGCAGUCCCAGUAUUUUUAAACUCUUGUAGUCUCCUGUUUGCACACUCAUGUGACGUAGAGGAACUAGAUCCAGAGAGUUUCUCAUGGGAAUCCGGGAUGCUUCGGCAUAACUGCUGGCUUUGGUUGCAUGUGUUUUUGCCCCUUGUUAAAGCAGUCCUUGGGGUUUCAUUUCACAUCCAAAAGACCUGGGAAGCAGCAGAUUCUGCAACCAAGUCAUGAAGCAUUUUAUUUCAGAAAAGAAGGGAUAAGAGAAAAGCCAUGGAGACAGGGCCUCUUUCUGCCCCCCAGUCUGGAGGGCAGUGGAGCAAACUCUUGGGUUCAAGCCAUCCUCCUGCCUCAGCUUCCUGAGUAGCUGGGAUUACAGGAAUGUGCCAUAGUACCUGGCAUAUUCUCUUUUUUUUUAAAAGUUGAGAGGUAUUUUUUACAGGUUUGGUGUGGUAACUGUUUGUGUUAACCCAUUUUGUACUGCUGUAACAGAAUAGAACAGACUGAGUAAUUUAUAAUGAACAAAAAUGUAUUGGCUCAUGGUUCUGGAGGCUGGGAAGUACAAGGUUGAGGGGCUGGCACCUUGCAAGGGCCUUCUUGCUACAUCAUCCUAGGGAGGAAGGGCAAAGGGUGGGAUGAGAGGGAGGGAGACAGAAAGAAAGGGCAGGAGAGAGGGAGAGAGAGAAGGAAAGUGAGAGAGAGAGAGAGAGAAAGAAAAAAGAGAGAGAGAAAGAAAGAGAAAAAAGAGAGAAGAGAGAGAGAGAUUGAGAACAGAGAGCCAAACUUAUCCUUUUGGAAACCACUUCUGAAAUAACAGCAUUAAUCUAUUCAUGAGGGCAGGGCCCCCACAGUCUAAUUAUCUCUUAAAGUUCCCACCUUUCAAUACUGUUACAAAGGAAAUUAAAAUUUAACAUAAGUUUGAGAGGGUACAAACAUUCAAACCAUAGAACCCUACAAAAAUCUCACAGACCUAGACUUAUUUCUUGCUGUUCUGCCUUCUGUUCUCAAGGUCACAAGAGGGCUGAUAGAGCUGUAACUAUUCACUUCACGGUGGAAGAAACAAUAAGGAAAGAAGAUAUGAUCCUCCUUUCUAAAGUGCCUUCUGGAGGUACUUUCUAUUUUCCUCCCAUUACCCUGAGCCUCAUCAUAUGGCCAAACCAGAGAGGCCGGGAAAUGUAAUUUCACAGCUGAACACAGUUAAGUUUCCAUUAUAAAGAAAGAGAACGAGAAAGGAUAUUAGAGGCAAGAAGCUGUUCCUGUCACAGUUAGCAUUAAAACUAAAGUUAGAGAAGAAAAUUUUCUCUUUCAUUUAAUGUUCUAUAAAGCAACAUUUAUUGAUGAACUCACUGUCCUAG